CAGCGUUUGACAUGGGACGUAUGGUUACCAGAGAUGGUUUCCUUCACUUCGGGUGGCGUCCACACAGGUGCUGCAUGGCUGUCGUCAGCUCGUGUCGUGAGAUGUUGGGUUAAGUCCCGCAACGAGCGCAACCCUCACCUUCAGUUGCCAUCAUUUAGUUGGGCACUCUGAAGGAACUGCCGGUGACAAGCCGGAGGAAGGUGGGGAUGACGUCAAGUCCUCAUGGCCCUUACGCGCUGGGCUACACACGUGCUACAAUGGUGGUGACAAUGGGUCGCAAGCGUGCGAACGCAAGCUAAUCUCCAAAAGCCAUCUCAGUUCGGAUUGCACUCUGCAACUCGAGUGCAUGAAGUCGGAAUCGCUAGUAAUCGUGGAUCAGCAUGCCACGGUGAAUACGUUCCC
rnacentral:rRNA from 1 species